CAAACCAAACAAAUUAUUAUGAAGUGAGCAUCUCUUAUAUUUAAUCAAUUAAUUUAAUUUAGUUCAAAAACAAAAUUCCUUGACAAAAAACUAAAUUUAACAAAGAAUAACAAUUAAAAAAUCCUAGAUAACCAGGUCAUUUUUUAAAUUAGCAAAAAAUCUGAUAGAAAGCAAAUAAAAAAAUAACAGAGCUCAAUCUCCAAUUUAAUAAAUAUCCAACGAUGAAACUGAAAAAAAAUGAGCUUAAAAAAAAAA
rnacentral:lncRNA from 1 species